rnacentral:rRNA from 1 species
CUUGGUCAUUUAGAGGAAGUAAAAGUCGUAACAAGGUCUCCGUAGGUGAACCUGCGGAGGGAUCAUUACUGAGUGUGGGCUCCGGCCCUACCUCCAACCCCAUGUCGAAACGACUCUGUUGCCUCGGGGGCGACCCGGCCUUCGGGCGUCGGGGCCCCCGGUGGACACCUUCAUAACUCUUGCAUCUCUUGCGUCUGAGUGAUACAUAUAAUCAAUCAAAACUUUCAACAACGGAUCUCUUGGUUCUGGCAUCGAUGAAGAACGCAGCGAAAUGCGAUAAGUAAUGUGAAUUGCAGAAUUCAGUGAAUCAUCGAAUCUUUGAACGCACAUUGCGCCCCCUGGCAUUCCGGGGGGCAUGCCUGUUCGAGCGUCAUUACACCACUCAAGCCUGGCUUGGUAUUGAGCGCCGCGGCCUGCCCGCGCGCUCCAAUGUCUCCGGCUGAGCCGUCCGUCUCUAAGCGUUGUGAAUAGCGAUCGCUUGCGAGGCCCGGGCGGUUCGACGCCGUUAAACCCCCCAUUUUCUAUGGUUGACCUCGGAUCAGGUAGGGAUACCCGCUGAACUUAAGCAUAUCAAUAAGCGGAGGA